rnacentral:misc_RNA from 1 species
UCCCUUUUUUUUUUUUUUUUCCUUUUGCUUCUUUGUGGUAAAGGUAGCUGGUAUCGAUGUUCUCUGCCUGUGAGAUUGGUCCUCAGAUGGAGAUUCACUCCAGCUCCAUCCUCAUCCGUGUCUUCUUUUCUGGGAUUUAUGUGCACUGUCAAUGUUUAUAUGUUCUUUUGUGGGAUUCAUGACCAAGAAGACCUUUCUGAUGAAACAUGAUAUGUGGGAAACACACUUUUUGAUAGGAUAGUUGUGUGAAGACUGAUAUAAGUCCUGUUUAGCAUUGAGUUUUAGAAUUUGAAACUGUUUUUUUGAAUAAAAGUAUUAUUUUAGAUGCUGUUGGAAAAAAUAGUUUGGAACAAGCUAUUUUGUUAUUUUAGUGUUUUUGUGACUAAAACUGAUCAAAUUUAAU